CAGCCGCCGCGGUAAUACGUAGGUGGCAAGCGUUGUCCGGAUUUAUUGGGCGUAAAGCGAGCGCAGGCAGUUCCUUAAGUCUGAUGUGAAAGCCCACGGCUCAACCGUGGAAGGUCAUUGGAAACUGGGGAACUUGAGUGCAGAAGAGGAGAGUGGAAUUCCAUGUGUAGCGGUGAAAUGCGUAGAUAUAUGGAGGAACACCAGUGGCGAAGGCGACUCUCUGGUCUGUAACUGACGCUGAGGAGCGAAAGCGUGGGGAGCGAACAGGAUUAGAUACCCCUGUAGUCCCUGUCUCUUAUAC
rnacentral:rRNA from 1 species